CUGCUUAAUUUGUAAAAUCAUAACCUAUUUUGAUGUUUAAUAGGCUUUUUCCUAAUCUUUCCUUAUUAUCCAACAUAUUCGCUUAUCCAAUGUUCUGCCGACCCGUUUAUGUUGGAUAAGUGAGACUCUACUGUAUGUGCAGUGAGCAUAGGAAUUUGUUCAUUUUUUUUUUCAAAUGAUAAUUCAGCCCCUCAACAAUCUGAGGGACCAUGAAUCGGCCCUCCACUUAAAAUGUUUGAGGACCCCUGCUCUAAUCCAACCUGUACCUUUAAAAACCUGUAAAUAAAGUGCAGGUUCCAUCUCUCAAAACCACUUUUGGGUCUGCCUUCUGUAUGCCUGCUGCAAGGAAGCAGGUCAUGUUACCUUCAAAAAGAAGCAAGCAGGUGUGUAAGGGGGAGUGAGGGAAUGACUGAAAACAAUCUGUCAUUUUUCUUCAGGAUUCCCAAGUAGCUUGCAACCCUCCCCUCUUUCUCUUUUGCCUCAGUUUAGAUUCUUGGCUUUACAAUCCUGUCUAUGCCUGCAUUGGAUAGCUUCUGCCACUAGAAUGCACUCUUAUCUAUGAGAAGUCUUUGAGCCUGCAGCUAAAAAUGUUUAACCCCUUUCUAGCAGACUGGCAUUGCUUGAAUGCUUUUUCAUUUGGCUUCUUAAUAAUCACCUUAUAUUUCCUCCUUUUGCAUAGAUAGAUGGAUGUGAUGAUUGGAGCCCAUGGAGAUUUCUUUUCUUGGAACGAAAAUGUCCAAGAGCUGUCAAUUUGCACGUUUUUAGAAUAUACAACUAUCCAGUUGCAUAUGCAGUACUAUUCACAUUAAUGAUACAUAUGAUGAUCAAGUUGUAAGCCUUUCACCCAGAAAUGGAGGACCUGUGGUAUAAAGAUUAUGUUCUUUUGCAUUCAUUCAUCUCCAUUUAAUGACACCGCAUGGCAGGGGACUUGACUGGAUGGCACUUAUGGCCUCUUCCAACUCUGUGAUUCUAUGAUUUUAUGAAACCACUAAGAAAGGUCAACCAGGUUUUGAGGUAAGAUGUCGUAAGUAUAUUGAUGACACUCAGUUCUGUUUCUGUAAAACUAAAGUGAUGGCUUAUAAAUGAAAAAUGAUCAAUGAGGUAGUUCACUCUAGAAUCUGUGCUUAGUCUAUCCUUUAAAGUGGGGGAGGAUUGUGGAGGAAAUGAAUCAUUUUCCACCUCAUACUCCAUCUCCCUCCAGAAAGUUGUACUAGUAUACCUGUUCCAUUUUCAAUUGAUUUUCAGCCAUUUUUGCUGUUUGGGAGUAUGUGCAGGAGAUAUUAAUGGGCCUAAGGGGGUAACAGAUACAUUUUGCAUUGGUUUUAACCAAUUUUGAGCAUUUUGGAAGUGAAGAAAGGCUCAAACUUUUAGAAAAUAUUUUGGGAGUGGUGGAUUUGGGAGGCUGCAGGAAUUGAACUUUUCCCACUUCUGCUCUAAGAAUUAGGAGUAGGGACAGAACAUGACUCUGCAAAUGUUGUUGGGCUACAUAUCCCAUGUAAUGAAAGAAAUUAAAAGCACAAUAAUGAGCCAGUCUGGUAUACUGCUUUGAGCAUUGGACUGGAGAGGGUCUGAGUCAGCCACAAAGAAGACUAGAUGACCUUGAGCAAGUCACACACUUUCAGCAAUGCCAAACCUCCACUAAAUAAGUCUUGCCAAGAAAACCCUAAGGGGAAGGUUGCUUUAGCAGCACAGUAUGACUGAGAUGACUUGCAGACGAGCGACUAAAGCAACAAAUAAUCACCAUAAUCUCUAACCAGUGUGUAUGCUGGCUGGGACUGAUGGGAGAUGAGAGACCAACAUCAUCUGGAGAGCUCUGGAGAGUUCUUUCAUCAUUAUGGUGAUCAUUAUUUCCUCGCAAAUUUUGUAAAAUGGCAUUUAUAACCUUUCGGAAAAUCUCCUUUUGGAGAUCAUAACUUUUAGAAAAGCAUGACCUUUCUUUCAGAGAAGAGUCAAAACCCUUGUAUAAUCUUCUCUUGUGGUAUACAGAUAUCAUUACGCAAGGCAAUGGUUUCGGGUGUUAAGACUGAAUAACCUGUUAUCUCUGAUCGGUUAGGAAAACAGAAUUUGCAAGUGCAUAAAAACAGCAGUAUUUUAUAAAUGUUUUUCAGUGCCAUACACACACAAACACACACACCCGUAAAACAACUUGUUUUAUAUCAUGCACUCAAGAUACAAAAAUGAAGUAGACUUUGAUAAAAAUAACGUUUUGUUUACUCACAACCUUCAUGUGUUCAGCAUACACAGGUACAAAACUUAUCAGUCCAGUUUCAGAUAUGUUUGAGACAAUUCUCUGUGCCAUCUGGCCAGGACACCUCUUAUAGCAAAACCACAAGCAAAUGUGUGAUCUGAAGUCUGAAGUAGUAUAUAGUCUGUCUCCAAUCUGCAGUGAUCAUGUGGUCUACAGCCCCUUUUAUAACUUCCCAGGAACCAUAGAGUAAAGGAAGUUGCAUACUGGAACAUACAUAUAAACAGGAAGCAACAGGAUCAUAGAUAAACAGAUUACUAGAGAAGGCUUGAAGAAGGUUGUCCUUUCCAACAGCAGAAGCCUAUGUAUUGCUGAUGCAGCAACAAAAUGACACACAGCACAAGUGAAACAUGAAUAAUGUAUAACACAUACCUACAUUUUAGAAUCGAAUUGGCUGCUUGUAGAAGCUAAUGGUUCUUCCUGGAUUUGACACAGUGAAGCCUUCCUGAUGGUGGUGAGCUCAAUUCUUAUUUUCCUCAGCCAGCAUUGCUAAUAGUGAGGAGUACUGGAAGUUGCAGUCCAACAGUUUCUGCAUCCAUCUCUGCAGAUGUUCAAGUGAGAUUCAUGAUAAUGUUUCAUCGAUUUCUCUGCCUCAUCCAUGAAUAUAUAAUUUCUAGACAGAAUGUCUUAAUCUUUUCCAGAUGUGAUGUCUGAGAAUGAUAGUUUUGCCCUAACACAAAUUGGGGAAAGCUGGACUCUUGCAAUAGACUUUGAAGGAGACAGCAAACAAAUAGCUUAAACUGCAAACCAAUACACUUUUAUGUUGGUGUAGGUCCAUUGAACAAAUUCAAACCUACUUCUGAUGUCCUUACUAGAAGAUGGUAUUGCCCACAAGGUCUUAGAAUCAUAGAGUUGGAAGGGAUCUCAAUGGCCAUAUAGUCUAGCCCCAGCCAAUGCGGGAAUACAAAGCUAAAGAAUUGAGAGGUGGGUAUUCAAAUUCUGUAAGCCAUCCAAUAAAUGAGAAUCCAUCACACUCUGAAGCCAGCUAUUUUACUGCUGAAUGCACUUAUUAACAGAUACCAUAAUUUGUCCUAUGGUUUAGAAUCUGUUUUCAUGUAAUUUGAAUCAAAUGUUUUGUGUCCUAGAAUGCAUCUACACCAGUGGUUCUCAACUUUUCUAAUGCCGUGGCCCGUUAAUGUAGUUCCUCAUGUUGUGGGUGACCCCCAACCAUAACAUUAUUUUCGUUGCUACUUCAUAACUGUAAUUCAGCUACUGUUAUGAAUUGUAAUGUAACUAUCUGAUAUGCAGGAUGUAUUUUCAUUCACUGUACCAAAUUUGACAAAUACACGAUAUGCCCAAAUUUGAAUACUGGCGGGGCUGAGGGGGGAUUGAUUUUGUCAUUUGUAAGUUGUAGUUCACCUACAAUCAAAGAGCAUUCUGAACUCCACCAAUGAUGGAAUUGAACCAAACUUGGGACACAGAACUCCUUUGACCAACAGAAAAUACUGGAAGGGUUUGGUGGGCAUUGACCUUGAGUUUUAGAGUUGUAGUUCACCUGUGGACUCAAACAAUGAUGGAUCUGGGCCAAACUUGGCACAAAUACUCAAUAUGCUCAAAUGUGAACACUGGUAGAGUUUGGGGAAAAUAGACCUUGACAUUUGGGAGUUGUAGUUGUUAGGAUUUAUAGUUCACCUACAAUCAAAGAGCCCCGUGAAUCCGACAAUGAUAGAAUUGGGCAAAUUGGGAUUUUGGUGGGAGGAUUCACUGUUUCCAAAAAGGACAGGCAAGGAGAUAUUCAGCCUUAUCUGCCAAAGGGUUUCCUAAGACCAUCAGAAAUAUGUGUUUUCUGAUGGUCUUUGGCAACUACUCUGACACCUCCUCGCAACCCCCCCCCCAGGGUCCCGACCCCCAGGUUGAGAAAUGCUGAGCUACACCAUAGUAUUCAUGCAGCUUGACAACAGUUUAGCUGUUAUAACUCCGUUAUGGAAUCAUGCUGUGAGGGACAUGUGCAUGUUCUUCUGUUCCAUUGGGAUACAUGUUUUCACUCCUUUCCUACCAGCAACCUUCAGUGUAACAUCAGAAGGAGGUUGCUUGUCACAGUUCCUUCUAUGGAAACAUCAGUCUGCUGUGUUUCAAUUGAUAGAACAGACCUCCUUUGCUUGCAAUAGCUGAUGCCUGAUAAGCAGGAAUGGGACGGGGACUAUUAUGAUCCGUAUGUAAUUUCUACACUAUUCAAUAUGUAGGCUAUGUGAAUACAAAUCAGUUGCAAAUGCAAAAGUCUAGGUUACACUUUUGUAAUUGCAACUGUGAAUUCCAGCCCAUAUCUAUAAUCCUGUUUCUUUUUUCUGCUAGUCCUGCCCUGCUUUUGCUUCUGACCAACAGAUUUGACUAGGAAAAUUGCUUUGCUGUUUGGUUAAGCCUUCUCUCUACACACACCCUGUUUCAGAGCUGCUUGGUUUAAGAAAACACUCCACACAUUAACUACCUUUAGGCAAUUAACAUCAUGUUCUUUUUGAAAGAUAUCCUCCAUUUUUUUUCAAGGCCAGGAGCUAUUUUUCAACAUUUUAUUACGCUAAAUUUGAGAUAAUGUGCAUAAUUACAUUUUAUGUCAGCAAUCAAAAUAGUCAUAUUAUCUCAAGGAGAGGGAUGAGCAGCUCCUUUGUAUCGUUUGGGUUGCAAUGUCCCUAAACCCCAGCCAACCCUCAUGAUUGAGAUUCUAUUUAUGGUUGCUAUCCUCUAUAAAUGUUUUCCUCUUUUGACAUAUCUAAUCAUGCUCCCAGGAGCCUGCAUUGCCUUAUUGCCCACUUUGUGAAGAUUCUGUGUGUCUUGCCUUGUUCUGGGCUGAUUCUUUAGCAAUGCAGUAAGUAACCAGUUUGAUCUAUGGGAACAUCAUUCCACAUUGGGAACUAUUUAUGUGAAUGGUAUCUAUCUGUAUCAUGAGGUGAGGACGUGUUGAUUUUAACCAGGCCAAAAAAUAGCACUGACAAUGAUGUUAAACUUGACACUACCAAAUGGAAGCAAAAGAAAAGAACAUCAAACAGUGCUCUGGCGUUAAACUAAUGUAUGAACCAGGCUUUUGCUUCUGCUCCUGUUUUUUAUUAUUGAUUCUGUUUUGGACUUCAUUUUAGAGGUUUUCCGUUUAAUUCUGUUGAGCCUUUUUUCACAUCAUGUAUUUCUCUGAGUAUCUGAUGAAAGCAAACAUUGUUUUAAUAUGUUUUCAAGUUAUUUCUGACUUCUGGAGACCCCAACAUAAAUGUGUCAUGACAAGAUUUGGACAGAAAUGGGAGAGGAGGUUGACUUUGUUUUCCACAGAGGCACAAAGAAUCAUGAUGGUCAAACAGGGAUUCAAACCCCGGUCUUCUGGAGGCCUUGUUAACACUCAAACUACUACACCAUGCUGACUCUGAAACCUAGAAUCCUCUCUGAAAAUAAUGCAGCCAAACACAUACCAAAUUUUUCAUUUAAUUUAUAUUAUUAUGUCAGAAAUUGGUUUUUUCCAUGUAAACCAAUAACAACAACAACAAUUGUGCAGUUUUCUGGCACUGUAUAUUUCUGCUACUUCUGUGACUUUUUAUUUGUAUUUUGAUACUGUAGCCCACUUGUCAAUUGAUGUCCAGAAUCAGCAGCAUCCACUGUGGUCCUUUUUAUCCUGGGCGACGACUGAGCCAGUAUAGACUUCAUUUUGAUUUGUUUCUCCAAGCCAAAGACCUGGUUAUGGCUCACUAAUGGAACACUAGAGAAGGAAACAGAAGGCAUGAUUCUUGCAACUCAGGAGCAAGCAAUCAGAACAAAUGCAAUUAAGGCCAGGAUUGAAAAAUCAGCUGAUGACCCAAAAUGCAGACUGUGCAAGGAAGCUGAUCAUAUCCUCAGCUGCUGCAAGAAAAUCGCACAGACGGACUACAGGGGCAUAACUAUGUGGCCCAAAUGAUUCAUUGGAACUUAUGUCACAAGUACCACUUGCCAGUAGUAAAGAACUGGUGGGAUCACAAACCUUCAAAUGUAGUGGAAAAUGAGCAUGCAGAAAUACUGUGGGACUUUCGAAUCCAGACUGACAAAUAAUAAAACUUUAAUAAUAAUAAAACUUUACUUGUAUUUCACCCUAUCUCCCCAAGGGGACUCAGGGCAGAUUCCAACAUACAAUGGCAAACAUUCAAUACCAUUGAAAGUUUUGGAACACAAUAUACCAGACCUCAUGGUUGUGGAAAAGAAAAAAGUUUGGAUUAUUGAUGUCGCCAUACCAGGUGACAGUUGAAUUGAUGAAAAACAAGAGGAAAAAACUCAACUGUUAUUCAGGCCCUCAAAAUCGAACUGCAAAGGCUCUGGCAUAAACCAGUACAGGUGAUCCUGGUGGUAAUCAGCACACUGGGGGCUGUGCCAAAAGAUUUCAGCUGACAUUUGAAAACAAUAUACAUUGACAAAAUCACGAUCUGUCAACGGCAUCUGCGUGCAUCAUUUGAAAAUACAUCACACUGUCCUAACGCUUGGGAAGUGUUCGACUUGUGAUUUUGUGAUAUGAAAUCCAGCAUAUUCAUCUCGUUUGCUGUGUCAUACUGUUUUUUUGUGUCAGAAUAAUAAUAAUAAUAUAGCUAAGCUGUGCACUUGUAAAAUAUAGAAUGGAAAAUUAAAAGUAACAAGAUGGAAAUCAAAGACAAAAAAUCAGUUUGGCAUCCAGUUCAGAGACUGAAUGAAGCAAAUGCAUGGACCCCAUGUUAAGAAUCCCACCAUAUUAGAAGUCUCUGGAUUUUUGCUUAAAACACAGGGAUACAACUUAUAUAGGUCAGAAAUCCAUGUGUAAUAGUGUGCUCAACACCCCUCCCCCUGC